AUAGCUAGUAGGUGGGGUAAUGGCUCACCUAGGCGACGAUCCCUAGCUGGUCUGAGAGGAUGACCAGCACACUGGAACUGAGACACGGUCCAGACUCCUACGGGAGGCAGCAGUGGGGAAUAUUGCACAAUGGGCGCAAGCCUGAUGAGCCAUGCCGCGUGUGUGAAGAAGGCCUUCGGGUUGUAAAGCACUUUCAGCGAGGAGGAAGGUGGUGAGCUUAAUACGCUCAUCAAUUGACGUACUCGCAGAAGAAGCACCGGCUAACUCCGUGCCAGCAGCCGCGGUAAUACGGAGGGUGCAAGCGUUAAUCGGAAUUACUGGGCGUAAAGCGCACGCAGGCGGUUUGUUAAGUCAGAUGUGAAAUCCCCGGGCUCUACCUGGGAACUGCAUUUGAAACUGGCAAGCUAGAGUCUCGUAGAGGGGGGUAGAAUUCCAGGUGUAGCGGUGAAAAUGCGUAGAGAUCUGGAGGAAUACCCGGUGCGAAGGCGCCCCCUGGACGAAGACUGACGCUCAGGUGCGAAAGCGUGGGGAGCCAAACAGGAUUAGAUACCCUGGUAGUCCACGCUGUAAACGAUGUCGAUUUGGAGGUUGUGCCCUUGAGGCGUGGCUUCCGGAGCUAACGCGUUAAAUCGACCGCCUGGGGAGUAGGCCGCAAGGUUAAAACUCAAAUGAAUUGACGGGGGCCCGCACAAGCGGUGGAGCAUGUGGUUUAAUUCGAUGCAACGCGAAGAACCUUACCUACUCUUGACAUCCAGAGAACUUUCCAGAGAUGGAUUGGUGCCUUCGGGAACUCUGAGACAGGUGCUGCAUGGCUGUCGUCAGCUCGUGUUGUGAAAUGUUGGGUUAAGUCCGCAACGAGCGCAACCCUUAUCCUUUGUUGCCAGCGGUUCGGCCGGGAACUCAAAGGAGACUGCCAGUGAUAAACUGGAGGAAGGUGGGGAUGACGUCAAGUCAUCAUGGCCCUUACGAGUAGGGUACACACGUGCUACAAUGGC
rnacentral:rRNA from 1 species